GAUAAUGACAACGUAUAUUGAAACAGCUUGGAAGAAGAAGAGAUACACAACAUAGAAAACAUGAUGAAAGCAUGAAUCUCCCAACAAACACAAGCAGCCAUAAUGAAGCCAUAACAGCAACAUGAAGGCAUGUGAAGAUCUCAUGAUAAAAGAAGCAGCAUCAACUUCCUUUGGACCCAAAAAAAAAGAAAAAGAAAAUCUUUGUUUCUGGCGCUAUAUGGAAAGCAUGAAACUUCUUUGGCACCAUAUGAAAAGCAGAAAAAGCCUCUUCAAGCAAUCUAAAAAAUAAAUAAAGGCAUUAUUGUCCAACCACUACAAAAUACAUAUGUAUACGUCCUUCUUUAUAAAUACAGCCCUUCUCAGGCAUAUUGCUUGGGGAGGCCUUGAUACUUUUCAAAUAAAAUUACAAAUAAAUAUAAGGGUGGUGAUUUUCCCACUCUCCUUUUAUCCAUUUACACUUUAUUUUGUUUUUUUAAUACUUUUUAAGAUAAAAUGGAGUGUAAGUGAACAAAAGAGGAGUGAGAACAUACAAUUUUAAUAAAAUGGAGUGUAAGGACCAAUUUGAUAUUACUGUGCUGUAAAAAUA
rnacentral:lncRNA from 1 species